UAGGGAAUUUUGCGCAAUGGACGAAAGUCUGACGCAGCAACGCCGCGUGAGCGAAGAAGGCCUUCGGGUCGUAAAGCUCUGUCAUCAGGGACGAAGUAAGUGACGGUACCUGAGGAGGAAGCCCCGGCUAACUACGUGCCAGCAGCCGCGGUAACACGUAGGGGGCGAGCGUUGUCCGGAAUUACUGGGCGUAAAGGGUGCGUAGGCGGUCUGUUAAGUCAGAUGUGAAAGACCUGGGCUCAACCCGGGAUGUGCAUCUGAGACUGGCGGACUUGAGUGCAGGAGAGGGAAGUGGAAUUUCUAGUGUAGCGGUGGAAUGCGUAGAUAUUAGGAAGAACACCAGUGGCGAAGGCGGCUUCCUGGACUGUAACUGACGCUGAGGCACGAAAGCGUGGGGAGCGAACAGG
rnacentral:rRNA from 2 species